AUGCUGGGUAGUUUGCUGAGGGGGAGGGGAAUAGGAGGAAAUGGGGGGGGGCAGGGCUACCCUGGAGGAGGCUGUAUUAAAGGAACAUGUGGGAGCGGAAAAGCUCUUUUUUCUCCCUCCAGCCUCUCUUGGGAUCUCUCUCCUGACCACCCCGGCCCGGCCCGGCCCACGGAUGGCACACUGUGUGUUCUCAGCUCCUCGCAACUCCGCUCACGGGCCCCGUGGACAGGUGCAGACCACCCGCCCAGAGCCGCGGAGGAGCCCCUGGCCCUGAGAACACGCAGCGUCCCACGCACACCAAGCUCAUAAUAGCCCACGUCAAGCCUUGUCUUUCUGCGCCAAGGACUUCACGAGCCUCAUCGAAUUUAUCCCCCAAACAGCCCCGGAAAGUAGGUAUGUGGAUUGUCUGCGUUUUAUAGGUGAAAACACUGAAGUUGUGAAAAGUUAAUAUUCCGCAGGCUCCCGUGUCUGCUUAGCCGUGGAGCCAGGAUUUAAACUCAGAUUUAUCUGACGGACACCAGAGUCCCGGCGCUUGACCCUUCUGCCGCACUGUCACUGUUUGUUAUUUCUGGAACGGCCUUGUUGAGAUAUCAUUCACAUACCACAGAGUUCACCCUUCAAAGUGCAUAAUGCGAUGGUUCAUAGGGUCACACAGCCGUCCCCACAGUUAAUCGGAGAGCAUUUUCAUCAUCCCCCAAAGAAACCUCGGACCCGUUAGAUACCCCCUCCGCCACCCCCACCGUCCCCUCCCAGCCCCACGCGACCACUACUCUACUGUCUGUCUCCAUAGCUUUGCCUGUUCUGCGUAUUUCACGUAAAUGGAAUCAUACACCACGUGAUCUUUUGCGGCUGGCUGCUUCUCCUUCGCACGAUGUUUUCAGACCUCAUCCAGAUGGUAGCGUGGAUCUCUCCUUCGUUCCGAUCCGCUGCUCAGUCAUCCUCCGUUGUACGGAUACGCCACAUUUUCUGUAUCCGUUCACCCCCUGAUGGGCCUUUGGUUUGUUUCUACCAUUUGCCUGUGACGAAUGAGGCUGCUAUGAGUAUUCACGUACAUGGUUUUUGGUGGAAACAUUUCUCUUGGGCAGAUACCUAGGAGCAGAAUUUCUGGGCCAAAUCAUAACUGCGUGUACACAGCCAACUGUUUUGAGGGAAACAAAAUCAGUCUGUUUGCAGAUAAGGAAAUAGAGACUCCAAAAAAACCCAGUGGCCUGCCCAAGUUGUGCAGAGCCCAAGUGGCCAAGGAAGGCUUCGCUUAGAGUGCAUCCAAUUUCAAAAGCCAAGCUUGUCAAUGUACUCACUGCAUCAUAGGAGCUCAAUUCCUACAACUUUAAGAUAGGUGCAGGGGUGAGGGGAGCGGGGAGAUGCUGUCAGAGUUAAGCCAAUGAAUUAAGCAGAAUCUCUGUUUCUGAGUGACUUACCUUUACUUGGCCAUUCACACCUUGGACAUUUUCCGGCACGUGCUAUGUGCUGAGCCCUGUGCUGGGCAUGAGGCUGACCACAAAGGUAAAGGCUGUGCCAUCCUGACCUCAAGGAGCUCCAACUCUGCUGAAGAAGGCCCUGGGCAUGGCAGUGAACAACACUGGUGAGUGACAAGUGCUGGGACCAAGGAAGGUGCUGAGGACACAUGGCAGGGCUGGAGAAGACCUCCCAGAGCUUCUGGCCAGUGGGCUGGGAAAUGACCAGUGAGCAUAAGCAAAAGGCAUUUUGAAGUGGGAGGAUAUCCAUUUCAAGGCCUUACAGUGUUGGUGGGUCUGGUGGAGGGUAGAGGCAGAGGCCGGGACAAAAAGCUGAGCAGCUGGUCAGGACCUCAAACACCACACCUGGAAGAUCAGACUUGCUCCUUUGAAGUGUCUGAGGCACGAAUGACACGGGGUAAUUUGGUGGUUAGCAAAAUCCCUCUGGAGCAGUAAGAAGAAUGAGAGAUGAAAGUGGAGCAGGUUGGAAGUCUACUGCACCAGUCCCAGCAAUAGAAGAGAGGGCCUGAAUAGGACAAUGGCUCUUGGGAUGGAGAGGGAAGAACAAAUGGGAGGGGCCUCUAGCAAGGAGGGAAGUGUCUGUGCCAUUAUUUGGCACUGGCGGAGGCAACUUCUGGGAGGUAGGGGCUGAAGGGUGGCCCCCCCCAAAAAAUAUUUGCCCACUGGGAACCUGUGAAUGCAACUUAAGGGUCUUUGCAGAUGUUAUUAAGUGUCUUGAGGUGAUCUUAUCCAGGAUCAUCCCGACAGGCCCUUGAUUUUGGGCUUCUGGUCUCCAGGAUGGUGAGGAAAUAAAUUUUUGUUAUUUUAAGCCA
ensembl:lncRNA